CCUGGAGAGAGGAGGAAGAAUGAACGGCCUGGAAGACUCACCGAAACCUACCGCCGAAGUCUACUCCGAUCAAGAUCAUGAUGCAAGGAGCCUUUCUUGGAAGGGAAAAGAGAAUGUUGGUGACCGGAGUCCAAUUUUCCAUCAAGAAAUCAGAAAAACCCGCGAGGAACAACUCUAUACAGGAUCUUUGAAGAAGUUUGGCUGAAACCUCGAUCCGAAGGCAGAACUCCGAGAAUUGUCCGAGAACGGGACUUAAUAUAAAGAAAUCAGUAUUUUUGGACCACUCACGGGCAAAGAAAUGCUAGCAAAAAGGCACGCGUCAACCAGGUGCCGGUCGAGGUGGAGGAGCGUUCGAGAGUUGUGCGGUCACAGAGGGGGUCGUUCCGGAGCGUCAGUCCUUUGUCGGUCUCUUAGAGUCUUUUGUAAUUUUCUUCAUAAUUUUAUUUCCGGUUGGAAAUAUUUGGUUUUAAUUUUGUAUUU